rnacentral:tRNA from 1 species
AUGAUAAUUAGUUUAAGCCAAACAAAUGAUUUCGACUCAUUAGAUUAUGAUUUAUCUCAUAAUUAUC